rnacentral:rRNA from 1 species
GACGAACGCUGGCGGCGUGCUUAACACAUGCAAGUCGAACGAUGAAGCUGGAGCUUGCUCCGGUGGAUUAGUGGCGAACGGGUGAGUAACACGUGAGCAAUCUGCCCUUGACUCUGGGAUAACUGCGGGAAACUGUAGCUAAUACCGGAUACGAGGCUCGAAGGCAUCUUCGGGUCUGGAAAGAAUUUCGGUCAAGGAUGAGCUCGCGGCCUAUCAGCUUGGUGGUGAGGUAAUGGCUCACCAAGGCGACGACGGGUAGCCGGCCUGAGAGGGUGACGGGCGACACUGGGACUGAGACACGGCCCAGACGCCUACGGGAGGCAGGAGUGGGGAAUAUUGCACAAUGGGCGAAAGCCUGAUGCAGCAACGCCGCGUGAGGGAUGAAGGCCUUCGGGUUGUAAACCUCUUUUAGCAGGGAAGAAGCGAAAGUGACGGUACCUGCAGAAAAAGCACCGGCUAACUACGUGCCAGCCGCCGCCGUAA